AUUUUGGACAAUGGGGGAAACCCUGAUCCAGCCAUCCCGCGUGUAUGAUGAAUGCCUUCGGGUUGUAAAGUACUUUUGGCAGAGAAGAAAAGGCAUCCCAUAAUACGGGAUACUGCUGACGGUAUCUGCAGAAUAGGCACCGUCUAACCACGUGCCAGCAGCCGCGGUACUACGUAGGGUACAAGUGUUAAUCGGAAUUACCGGGCGUAAAGCGUGUGUAGGCGGUUCGGAAAGAAAGAUGUGAAAACCCAGGGCUCAACCUUGGAACUGCAUUUUUAACUGCCGAGCUAGAGUAUGUCAGAGGGGGGGAGAAUUCCACGUGUAGCAGUGAAAUGCGUAGAUAUAUGGAGGAAUACCGAUGGCGAAGGCAGCCCCCUGGGAUAAUACUGACGCUCAGACACGAAAGCGUGGGGAGCAAACAGG
rnacentral:rRNA from 1 species